UACGAAGGGGGCUAGCGUUGCUCGGAAUCACUGGGCGUAAAGCGCACGUAGGCGGACUCUUAAGUCGGUGGUGAAAUCCUGGAGCUCAACUCCAGAACUGCCUUCGAUACUCUGGAGCUUGAGUACGGGAGAGGAUAGUGGAAUUCCCAGUGUAGAGGUGAAAUUCGUAGAUAUUGGGAAGAACACCGGUGGCGAAGGCGGCUAUCUGGACCGUAACUGACGCUGAGGCGCGAAAGCGUGGGGAGCAAACAGG
rnacentral:rRNA from 1 species